UUGCUGUGAUGACCAACUUAGGACACCUUUGGAUUAACCAUGAAAAAAAAAUGUGUUCUGAGCAAC